UAACCACGUACGCUGUAACUAACUCUUCUCCCGAGGAUCGUUGAAUUCUGAUGCACCGAAUAAUUAUUCGGUUAAUCGGUAUUAUCAUCGAACUGUUUAUCCGUUUGCGCGAUACGGUCAACCGACUAGGGAACUGUCAAAGGUUAUUUAACGCUAGACAUUGUUCACGGAGUGAUGAGUUACUAUUUAGUUCAUCUGUCGAUACACGGUGCAUUCGCAAGAUACGAAACCGAGUGUAAAGGGAAUUAAUAACGGCACGGAAUAUUUGAAUAUUAUAAGGAACGGGGCGUUAAGUUUAAUCAUUUUUCUUUCUUCGUCAACGAAUCAGAAGUCAAAAGGUAUAAAUCUCACGAAAUCGUGCUCGCGACACGAAAGGAGAGUUUACUUUGGCCAAAUGAGCGUAGCAGGGCCAAUAAAUCAUUGUGAUUCGUAUAAAUCACGUAUUAUUUCACCGUUAUAGCCCUCGGUUAUGGAGGAAAGAUAUAUAUAUAUACAUGUGCUCUAACUCGCCGCAAAACCUGGCCUGUGUGCUACAUGGUCAGCCACUGACGUGCGUUUCAACGACGAGAGAGAUGAUCGCGCAAAGCACCCGAUCAGAUAUGGGCUCGCACAUGCGUGCACACGGCGGUUUACCACAGCGGUUGCAACGAGCGCUGUGGAAAGAGGCAGAAGCCACGGUGCACCCCCUUGACGCGUCUGCUUCUCUGCUACCCCGAAUUCCACGAAUUGGCCCCCAUCACUCCGCAGAGAUUUCGCUAUUAGCCAUGGUUUGCUCGGUAACGCGUAACUGGCCGCAACGAUGUUGACCUUUGUUCGCCCGUUUGAUUACGCCAGUUUCGUUACGAGCCAAUUUCGAGAGCUCGAAGAGGAAGAAAAAUGGACUCUUGUCUCUCUUAACGCGGUUAGAAUUUAGUUUUUCAAAAGCGACUUUUUAGAAAUAAUUGUUGAGAUUGAAUUUGCCUCGAGGCAAAGGAUUUAGGAUUUACAGGCUUCGUUCUUGAUCUUCUCCCUCUUUCUUUCUUUAAAGACACUUUCGAUUUUUCAACAACAAAUUUAUUACAAAUCUUCUUGUUGUUCUUCUGUCCACUCGUUUACAAGGCAGCGAUAAUUUUUCAGCACGAGGCUGGAGAUAGACGAUCAAUUACUUAGAAAAUUUAUUCGAUCGCCGAGUAGAUUAAACGAGCGCAUUCCCGGGGAAAAAUAGGCGUUCAAAAGGGAGGAGAAACGAAAGAAGUCAACGUAAGAAGAAGAAGAAGGAGGAGGAGGAGGAGGAGGAGAAAGGUAUUCAUUAUCCUUUUUUUCGUUCUUUUCACUGUCCCCCUCGCGAGAGAGCCGAGGAAGUUCGAUUCGAGGACUUAAUUGAGCGAAGUUAAUUUCACGAAAGUUGGUCCACUGCUUAGACAACGUUCUCGAGGAACGUAAAAGCGAACAUGGUCGACGAUCGUUUUCCGGCAUGGAGGACAACUCUGCUGGAAAUCUUGGCCGGGCGCAUUAAUGAAAUUCGGGUCACGGGUCGAUUAGCUUGCGCGAAACCAUCGUGGCGUCGAUUAAUUUUCACCCCAAUGGAGAGGAGCUUCUUCGCUGGUUUAAAACUUAAGCUUGUCCUUUCCAUUGAACCGAUUAACCGGCAACCAACCUGAACUUUCAAUGUUUCUGGAUAACACGUGAAUACACGAAGAUAGUUUGGCAAUUACGAAGAUUUGGAAUAUUAAGGAUCUAUAUGUGAAUCUCGAACACGUAUGAAUAGAAAGAAAAAUUUGAUUCUUUUCAGAAAACGAAUAAUUAGUCAAUUGAAAUUAGCGAUCUUUCUGUGUUGUUUUUCAUAUCUUGUUUUAUAACAAAUUUAUAUAUUUUGUAUUAUCUAAUAAUAGAAGUUUAACAAUCGUUAGGUGAACGUAAUAGUUUAAGAAAUGUGAUGACGAAUUGUUGAAAGAAAAACUUUUUAAAUUCUCAAGGGAAUUCUCGAUUCCGUAUUCGAGACACUUACCCUUUAUUUAUUACCUUAAAUCUCGUUCGCUAACAAAAUAAAAUAGUAUGUGUCCUGGAUAAUCAGAAAAGAAAUCCUCCUACCUUAAGCUGGGAAAACAAAAUGUUGGACGUGCCGCGCUACACGCGUCUGAACUUAGAAAGCCUUGCUGCGGUUGUUCUUCAUGUCAAGAAAAUAGGUCUCUGCCUCUGUUGUUCAAGAAGAAGGGAGUUUCCUUUCUGAAAGCAGCUACGAAAAGUUGUAUUCGCGAAGAAUGCACCGUUUCUUUUAAAACGAUCCAGAAGAAAUUAGAAUUAAAAAAAAAAAACCUUAAUUAGGAUUUCUCGUUCCCCUAACAAAUAAGAAUUCUAAAAAGAUUAGAGACAAUUACGUAAAUUCUUUUCUUCGAUUCUAUUUCCUCUAUUGAAUCAUUCGCAACUCUUCUUCCUUUUAUUCUCCUAAACUAAUCGCAUUUCUAGAUAAAUCAAUACGAAAAUUAAAACGUCCUAUGUUGCUUAUAAUUUAAAAAAAAAAGAAAAUAGAAUCUAGAAUUCUAUUACAGCAAAACAUCAACGUAAUUACAUUACACAGCAUUACAGUUAAUUCGAUCCUUAAACAUUGCACAAUCCAUUCUCGACCAGUCACGUGCACAUCGUAACACGUCAUGUUUGCCGGCUUCCCUCCCACGAAGGGUGGAGGCGUUGGUCAUUAUCAGAGGAUAUAAAAACCGCGUGGUAAUGGAACGUAGCGUGCCUCGAUCGCCAAAGAUCGCACAAUGUACCACGUUUGUGUAGCAGCAGUAGUUUAGAUUGGCCGGGUUGUGUGUACACAGGUACCGGUAUUGUGCCAGGUCAUACGGUUGGAUACAGGGUGUUGGAUAACGGUUGCGUGGCAAAGCAACGUGGAUACCACGUUGCUCUUGGUCGUGUCGUGUGUCAUCGACGAAGGAAGCCCACUGUUUACAAAAGCUUGCGACACACCGCCGUGUUCGAUGGCUGGGAGCUUGAACGGUUUCUAGAUUAUUCUAUUAAGGCGAUCGAUCAUCGGCCGAGGGUUGAGCCACCAUCUUUAAAUGGUGGCGGACUUGUCCCUUCGCUUUCGCGCGGCCGUUGUCAAUAAACUUAUACAUCGCGGAGUGGAAGAUAGAUUCGAUGGAAACUUGGCAGACAAUUACUUCGUAACAGAGUCACGCAAUGCACGCGGUUCUCCUCGACGAAGAUGGUCGUCAGUCGAGAGAAGGCGUUACCACUGUUUUGCCAUCGUAUUGACAACCCUUAGCCGGGUUUUGGGGCGGUGCCACGUGGAUUCUUGUGCGGUUGAUACCGGUGGGGUAGAAGCAGUCACAUCAAAAGGACCGAAUACUUGUUUCUCUCUCCAGCUGAGGCUUGACGCGAGCCUUCUAUUGAUGGAAUCCGCGGCAGCUGCAUCUCUAAUUUGGUGAAUGAAAACCAAGACCCCCGUCGCACAUUGUCGGGAUAACAAGAAAUCCGAAAUUUGCACAGCGGAUGCCUUUUCCCCUCUUUGGGUUAUUCCUCUUUGAUCCCUGCGACGGGAUAACUUUUUUUUUUUUUUUUUUGAAAAGGUCGCGUCCAGAGAACGUCCAGAUCGAAUUGAUUAGAGCAUUACGAGGGAUCGUCGCUGGAAUUUGAUGAGAAUACGAUGAUUUUAUCGUUACGUCUCGUGAAUCUUUCAAUUCCUAAAGUAUUCUUCUUAUUUGAUCAUCGAACAAUGUUUUGUGAUUUGUUUCUCUGCUAUGAAAUGGAAUUUUUAAAAAUGACCGUGUAUGGAUUUUACUGUAAGUAAAAGAAAUGAAAAUGGAGCUUGUAGAUUUACGAUAACAAAAAUGUAGGUUAAUAGCUGCUACGUGUUUCUAAUUACAUACGUGGAAUCAAAUAUAAUAUAUUCUGUAUUCUAAUACAGCUGCGAGAAAGAUUUAGUUUUCUAGAAAAAGAAAUUUCAUUCAAAGAAAAUUGGAAAUCUUCGUAUUAUCGAAUUGCGUGUAACAAAGAUCAAAUUGGCGCAAAGAUCGAUCGAUUCGAAUGAUAUUUAAUUCUGUUUGUACCAAGAAAGAGUUAUACGUAAUAUUUUUAUUCCCUUUCUCAUCCCAUAUUUCCGUGGCCAACAUAUGAGUCGCGUUACGAACAAAAAUAAAUCCAAUCCCUUCCGUUAACCAUUCCGUUUCGGUAUUGCAUUUGAAAAUUUAUGAUCGCCGAUCGAAGACCCAACCAACGGGCAUCGGUACGUCAUAAAAUUUUACAUAAAACGAACGUUCGAUUAUCAACGGGGGAACGAGACGGGCGUUUAUCUGGUUGUUCGUACCGAUCCUCGACAAAACGUCACGAGAUAGUUAAAAAUCGGAUCCAGUAUCAUUUUCUUUUAUUGUAAAACACGAUGCGCAAUCGGUCAUACGUGGAAUUUUUGUUAUUGACGAUAACAGGAACAAUAAACUCGUUUACUCGAUAAAUUGCAGAGAAGGAAGAAGGAAAGAAAAUACUUAGGAUUGAAAACAAAGGAUUAAACGUAAAAAAUUAUUAAAUGAAUUCUUUAUUUCCGAGAUGUAUCCAUAUACUCGAAUCGGGGGAGAAAACCAUGAAGACUACGCGUAAUGAGUAUAAAAAGGAAGAGAAACGUUUCUCUGAAGCAGAAUUCCAGUUACUGCAUCCGCUGAAAAUAGAACGUAACAUACGUAUUCCAUAAAAGAAGGAAUUGCCGUACGAACGAUCCUCCUUCGUCAACGCCAUUUUGUCGAGGAAUGUUUCCCCGAAACUCGGAACGUCCCAAAGGAUUCGAAUCGCAAAGAAAGCCUUCCGUUUCUCUUCUGGAUUUUUCGAUAAAGCUCCCAAAACGACUGGCUAUUUGGUAGAAAACGAAUCGCGCGAGAGAAUCGGCAAAGGGAACACUCAUCUCUUCCCCAUUCUUAUUUUUCUUCUUUUUUAUUUUUUAUUUUUUUUUUUUUUUUUUAGAAGGAGAACCUCUUCCGAUAGAUGCGUAUUCUUUGGAUUAUACGUUUCGAGUGGAGUGUUUGAGCAUGGAAACAGGGGUGAGAAUGGAGAAUUUGUUCGAUGGGGGUGGAAGAAGAAGGAGGAUUCUGGAUGAUUGAUGGCGCGAGAUAUCAUCGUAUCACGUGCCAUUAUGUUUGCAUUACUGCGCCAAUUACACGUGCAUUUUCCACGCCAGAUUCCUGAGAUCUAAGCACGUGAAGAUAAUGCAACGUUGAAUUCUAGUUUAAUAGACUCCAGUUGUCUGAAAAGAACGUUUAUUGACUGUCUAUAAAUUAUAUUUUAGGAAGACGGUGUUUCGCGUGACUUGGUAAUGUUCGAGGCAGCGACAGACACGAAAUAUUAUAAAUAGAUUUCGAGAUUGAGAGACCAUAUUUGAACUGUCUCUCUUUUAAAUCCAGAAACACGUUUAAUAUAAAUACCAAAAAAAGAAAAAAGAAACUCGGACAGAAGAGAACGAUUGAGUCUUCGAGAAUUUGAAUCUCUCUCUUUCGCAAGCUUGCAAUUUCCAUUUCAUUAUCAGACCGAAAUCAUCGCUAGAAAAAAAAAAGGAUCACAGCAAAUAUCCUGCGUCCAUUCCAGAUGGAGAUACGUGAGCUUACAUAAAUGUAUGAGCUGGAUAGGGAAAUAUUCCGCGACGAGGCAGAAAUUUCCAUCGAUUCGUCGAAUAGACGAUUCCGUGCGAUCUUUCUUCUGCCCUCGAUAUCUUUGACAGUUCGGACAAGCUGCGCGAGCCGAAGGAGGCAAGGUGACGCGAAAUUUCCUCCAUGGAAAUCAACUUUGCCGUGGCAGGUGCGCGUGGGACCGUGUGUAUAUGUGUGUGCGCUCUCUUUGUGCGACGGUGCACGACCACCGAAACCUCUCGAAACGAGCAUUCGCCACGAACGUGUGUGAACACGGCACGAUAGAAAACAAUUGUCGAAAGACGUUCGAUUCCUCGAAUAAAAGAUCGUCUCCUGAAUUUUGUCUCCUGUCUACUUCGAAUUUUCUUUUUUUUUUUUUUUUUCUCUUCUAUCGAGCGUAUAAACAGCGUCAAGUCGACGAAAGUUAUUUAAUUUUUGCGAAGAAAGAAAAUUUAAAUUUUGAUGUUGGUUUCUUUUAGAUUAUUCGUCGAAGGUAUUUUUUUUUCUUUUCGUAGGUAUAAAGCAAAAUGUAGACAGAUAUUAAAAAAAAGUGACAGUAAAAAUAAUUAUCUCCUUUUCUUUUUCAGAUAAUAUGUAUCCUUUAAUUUGAUUAAUCUGUUUUAAUCGAAACUGUGGGAAGGAGGAAGAGAAUAUCGAUAGUAAAAGCGAAACGUAAAGGUUUGGGAUGAAUGGGUUUUGUUAGGUGCGCCAAUAUGGUUGUUCAAUUGAUUUUGCGGCUUCGCUAAAUUGGCCAAUCAACUGAUUUCUCAGUUAAUUCUGGACUGUACAGGUAACGAACCGACACGCAGGUAGGCCGAUGUUUAACACAUAAAUUACUUCAUAGUGUGCACCUGCUUACCUUCGUUAUAUCGAAUCAAAUGAAAUAUAUAUCUCCUGUUUUAGCUUUCUAUACCAUAAUCCUGUUAAUAAUUUCGAGAAUUUUUACAAAUUGAAAAUUAUAAAUCAAUGCAUUAAUAUCGAAUCAACAAAAUUACUUCAAACGACAAUUCCACUUUCUAAAAACCAUUCAUCGGAUCAUUGGAAAAUAUUUCGUCAAAAUUAUUCACCACAAAUCAAAUAUAUCCAACCUAUCCUUUAUAUAUCCGAUCCCAUCCUUUACCCAUCCCCUCAUCUUAAAACCACACGACCCGAAUUUCUCUUCUUAAACAAAUUUCACUCAAUAAAGAUCCCCACCAUCGCCCAAUAUCCUGAAUAAUAAAUCAACGAGUUAAUAUCGAGCACAAAAUCGUUCCUAAUUCCCCUUCCUAAGAAUAGAGAUAUAAUCAAACGGAUCAGAUCAUUCGAAUUAUUUCGUCGAAAUUAUUCACCACGAAUCAACGAUCGAUACCCAAUCUUAUCCAACCCCAUCCUCACCCAUCCCCUCCCUCCCUCCACCUUAAAAUCACCGCCCGAAUAAUAAUUAAACCCGUAGUCAACGUACUUGGCCAGUUUACGACGCACUAAUUCACCUGGCGGUUCGAUCGGCAAAUAAAUCGCUCGGCUCGUUAGGAUCACCUGAUACCCACCCCGUUUAAUACCGCUCUUUACAGCCUCUGCUCCGCUAACGAAUAUCUCCGGCGCAGUCUAUCCGCUCCUCUCUCGCGUGCACACGCGUGUUCCCUACCAAAUAUACCGGUGUGCGAGUCAAGUGACACACACACAACGGGAAGGGGUACACAGCGCAACAGAAAAUCCGCUUACGGAAAUGAGGGGUUAGUUUCGAACGUUUCGGCGUGGACGAUCGUCCCCGUUCUAAUUUGGUACACUCGCCUGGUAUUACGGGGGGAGGGAGGGGGUGGAGGAAACGGUACGUAAACCCGUUAUACCUGGUGCACCAGCUGGCGCAUGGAAAAGUAAAUAGAUAGACAGUGCGGCGUAAAAUUUGACUAAAUUGGAAACUUUUCGCCGGCGGCCAGCUGCCACUGGCACGAAUUGCGAUCUCUACAACACAAUCCGGGGAAUCCUCGAUCACGAUGGCCAACUAUUAAUUAUGAAUUCAACACGGUUGUAGCAGAGAUUGCGCGAUCCCGAUUAAUUGUAAUUGUAAAUUUUGCAACAAAUUGGGGAGAAAUCGAUUGGUUAUUGAUUUUCGAGGUUACGUUCACGUUGUAGCUGGUUGGAAAGUGAAAUUUCCAGAGGGGAUUGUAUAAAAAUACGAAGCACGCGUGUCUAUACAUAUUUCUCCGUAUAUAGAAUCCUCGAUUAAACAAAAUCCUACUUGUUCUUCGAUGCAGAAGAGAAAAUGGAGCUUGUUCGGAAAGUAAAUUCCAUCUCCCUUCUCCGCACGAAAAUUCUUACGAGAGCGAAACGGAUAAAUACAUAAUAGACAUCGAUCUCGCAAAUUUCAUUGGAUAGAAUUAUUCUAUUGGCCGUGAUACUUGUCGCGUCAAUCACCUCUCACGCAAAGCGACGUUGUGAAAUCGGCGUUAUGCAUGCGCCGCUCGUUUUUUGUGUUAUUCAACCCUCCCUCCCUCCUUGUAAAAUCGACUGACGUCCAUAGAAAGAUCCAUAGAAAAAAAGCUGCGAUCGAAAAUUCCACUCGCGACCCGACUGUCCACGGUUUUUCAAUCGUCGCGCGGAUAAAGAACGGGCAAAAGAGAGAGAGAGAGAAAGGGAGGGAGAGAGGGGAAAAAAGAAGAGAGGCGGUUGGAAAUGUCAUAAUUGGAUAAUCGUCGACGUAGGGAAGCGUGUAUCACGAUGGCGCUUGGGAAAUCACCGUUUCACGACACAUGCGACCCGCAAAACGAACGGAACACGCACUAGUCGAGCUUGUUCCGGGACAAGCACGGGUUGCUCCGCGUUUUACGAGCGAACGAGAAACGCAUGGAAGGGCCGGGAUUCCUGAACACGGAACCAGCAAAGACCAUUCAAUCGUUGCCAAUAGAACGUUAAUCCGGGACGUUCGCUUGUCACUGACAAUUUACUAUGUUUCACCUUCGGGCCACGCGGAUCAACCGAACUGGAUCCAAUCCUUGAAGGAACUUGGUUUGGAAACGAAGGGAUUCAUCAUAAAUGGACGAUUUUCUUGAAGGAAUUUUUGAAAAGGAUUUCCAUUGACUUCCAAUCAGAUUUUCUUCGUUUUAAUUCUAAUCUAUCUUUUGACAAACUUGCGUGACAAGGUGAAAAGAUAAUACAAGAAGGGAAAAAUAAGCCAUGGAAUGUCAACUGCCAAUGGCCAUAUCGAACGUGGCCCAGUAUCGCCGAAGGAAAACCCGUGGGAACGAUGGAUUAUAUUCCACUACCGAUCCAGGAUGGACACGCAUUAUUAGUUGGAACAAGAAAAGAAGCCCGCAAAAAGAUCCACGAUACUCGAGUAAUCACCAAGGAUCGAUUUGUAGAGAAAAUGACCACCAUAAAUCGGGAUAAAGAUACCAUUCAUUGCAAAUCGAGGUAAACACCGUUCCUCCAUUGUACACCGGCUCAGACGUGCCCUUCCGGGGAAACUCUGUAGAUGUCGCUCGAGCAGUCGAGGACAAUAACGCGGACAGAUAGAGGUGGUGACGUCCCCCAGGAAUGCGAUUGAACUGGGAAGAGGAGGUUUGUCCACAGAUUAAUUUUGGAAAGAUUGGAUUCUUUCCGGAUCGAAGGGAGGAGAGAUUGAACUUUCGUUCGAAUUGGAUGUCAGUGAGAGAAGCUUUGGAAUAAAAAGAAAAAUAACAGCGAUGAAUAAGUGGCGAUGAGAAAAUACAAAAUGGUAGAUAUUGUGCGUGAGGGAUCGGAGCCAGAAAUGUUAAAAUCGAUCGGGAAAACUCGGACUUUUAUCCGAAAUGGAUACUCGAGAGUUGAGACGAUGAGAAAUAUCGCAGGCGCGCAGUGUGUGCUCCGCGUACAGUUCAUCAGGGCAUGGUGCCGUGGCAUUAGCAUAUAUUUCACCUACGGGCUAUGACGGUCCGCUGCGGCAGCCGUACUAACUCGACUUUGUCGUCCACCAGCCAGAAGUUACGCUGAUAACUUUCGACCAACGGGUAACGAGUUGAACUGGAAACCUCGAAAAAGGCAGGGAAGUGGCUUCGUUAUCUACCAAACACACGCUCUCCCCAACAGAUUCUCUCUCUCUCUGAAAAUGAUUUAUCCACUAAAUUAUUAUUAUUAUUAUUAUUCGAACAGAGUCAUCGAAGGAUCGAGCCACGCUCGUUUCAUCACGUUGCUCGAACUUUGCUCUCGAUGGUCUGACCUGUUUAACUUGUGUCUAAUUUUAUAACAAGUUUCCAACUUGGAGAGAGGGGAGAGCGAAUGUUUCUCGUAGGAAUUUUAAAUUCGAAUGAAAAAGUCAGAUUAAAUUAUUUAAUCGGAAUAAGUAGAUCAUUUGCCAGUUGUUCGACAUACACUUGGUUCCUUUUCCGCGCCUAUCUCACCCCGAGAUAAAAGUUUUUACCGUGCAAUUCUGUAUAGAGUUAAUUCCUCUUCGAGAUAAUUGCGCGUAAACUCGAAUUAUUCCACACAAUAAUUUUUUUCAAUUUUUCUCGUAAUAAUCUCCACUCAUUGAUAUCGCCUAACGCCACCCAUAAAAUAUUCUUUCUGCAACUUUUCUUUUUCCCCAUAGGGAUCCCCUCUUAAUUAGAAGCGGGCUCAAUUUUUAAGACAAUUUUUAAUUGGACGACGCGGCUCGUUGGAGGAUCGUUGGACGAAUAAUACCAUUCGAACGAAUUGAAGAUAAACACAGCCGUUGUUCCGGUUGUUCCCGUCGGAAGGGCGUUUUCCUAGGGCGCAGCCUGCCGCUAAUUGCUCAACCACCUGCCGUUAUUUAAAUUUACUCACGGAUCCCGUUUCGCCUCGCACGGACGCGUAAUUUAAGAAUUUGUUACACGUUUCCACAACGGAUGCAAUGUCUUGUCUUCGAAGAUGAAACGUCUUGCAUCUUUCCCUUCCUUUCUUCCAUUUCUUCAUGAUCGAUUCUCUCAUUUGUUUACAGCAAUUUCUCGUGAGGAUAUAAAAAAUUUCAAUCGUCUUAUCGCGUCGUUUGUCAAUUUUUACCCUUUUAUCAAUGUGGUUUCGUUAUGUAGAUGGUUUUUUUUAAUUAGAUUCGAAGAAGAAAUUUUAAUUGUAUAUUUGGAAUUGGAAUUUAAUGUUAUUUACUCGUAUAUAUUGUA